CAUAAAUCCGCUCAUGGGGGUUUAAACUGCAUUCUAAUGUUGACCGCUUAAAGACAACGGUAUCAAGCGAAGUUCUUUGUGCAUGCUCAUUUCUCGCGUCUAGGGCUUUCGAGUGGACAUUUUAAAUGGAAAUUAUGGAACUCCCUCGCGUGGUUAUUUUUUUUUCUUAUUUUUAAGUCCUCAAUGACACUGGCAUUAGGCUAAAUGUGGAGCAUUUUACAUUUGCCUCUGUUGGCGAUUAAGUAGCCUAUUAAUGUAUAUGUAGGCUACCAUUUGAUACAAUAAAUAUGUUGAAAUGAUAUCACUGGAGUCAUAGCAAAUCAAUUUGUGCCACUUGCGUAACCUACCGGGAGUUGGCAAACGAAUUUAAUAAAUAGCCUAUAACUUCAGUUUAUUGUUGUUGUAGCCUUAUUGCUUAACCAAGUUAAAUCGACAUCAACUGAAUGCUCUGGCGAGUUUAAUAAGGGCGGCAUGUAAUAGCUUGCAAUAAUUAUUAUUUUGAGGAAACUCGAAUUUAGCUUCUAACUUCGUUACUAUGAUAUUCCUUCUUAAUUGGCUCGAUAACGUUAUGGAAAAAGGCUUUAUUGGAUAUAUAUGGCAACUCUUCUCUUGCUGUGACAAAAACAAAUUGGGCUAGUUUUCAGGCCUUUUGGGUGGGUUUUGAAUGGUCAUUGGGCACAUUUUUUUGUUAUCUUGACCUGGCAACCCUGCUCUGCAUUGUUACAAAAUUUGGGAGGCACAUGGCGAUGUGAUACAGAGCUAGAUUUGUCCUCUACACGUUUCUGGAGGAAUCCCGCCCUUCAUAUGGAGCCUCCGACCACAUUAUAGUCUACGCCUCCGCAAUGGAUUAGUUUACUGAGAUGGGCGCAAAUAUACAGCACCAGUCAAAAGUUUGGACACACCUACUCAUAUUUAAGGUCGAGAGCCAUGCGUCCCCGAAACACAACCCAACCAAGCCGCACUGCUACUUGACACAAGGUCUACUUAACCCGGAAGACAGCCGUUCCAAUGUGUCGUAGGAAACACUGCACCUGGCGACCGUGUCAGCAUGCACUGCGCCCGGCCCGCCACAUGAGUCGCUAGUGCGCGAUGGGACAAGGACAUCCCUGCCUGCCAAACCCCUAACCCGGACGACGCUGGGCCAGUUGUGUUCCGCCCCAUGGGUCUUCCGUUCGCGGCCAGCUGCGACAGAGCCUGGACUCGAAUCCAGAAUCUCUAGUGGCAAUGCAAAUAAAACAAUCUCGGUCGACCAACAGCAAACAAAUCGAAUAAUUGGGGUCUGCCCUAACACUUUUCAACGCGCUGGUAGUGUGUUCAGAUUUCGAUCACCCGAAGCAAGCGCAGAACCAUGUAAAUACGUGCACAAUCUCGGCAUGUUUUUUAAAUCUUGUGCGCCUGCUUCAGGUGAUAGAAAUCUGAACGCACUACCAUCGUUUUGAAAAGUGAAUGUAAUUAUACUUUCCUGUAAAUAUUCUCACAUUACUACCACCAAAAUGACCAUCUGCAUAGACAGACAACUGACCUCGUCAUGCUGAUCAGGGUGAAAUUCAAUGGUGAACGAAAAUAUGUGAAGAUCAUUGACCUGACACUUGAAAAUCUUUUGAUUGGAGUUUCAGAGGCAAAGCUGUGUGAUGGGCCUGGAACUGAAGUUGAUUAUAUUAAAUAUUAUAUUAUGAGGAGGUGGUGACACGGCCAGACCUUGGUGUUUUCAAGCUCACGCUGACCAAUGAUGCUAAAGAUGUCUCUGGCAGUACUGUGAUGGGUGGUUCAGACCAUGAGUCAGUUGAUACGAUCAUAUUGAGCGAGGAUGGAAGCCCCUCACGAAAGCGUCAAAGAUAUGAUGACAAAGCAAAACAUAGAGCAUACUGAAGAAAAAGCCUGGUGGAGAGGUUGUCAUCAAGGAAUACUCCAAAACUAAAAGCCUGACUGACUGCACCAGACGAAAGAUGAUCAACAUUCUUGUUUCGGCGAUGACGGCGACUCAUGGGACAUCACCACCGCAUGAGAGAAACAUUUGCACAAGGCAUCAUCUCCUUGUUCCUAUACCUGAGGGAUUCCUACACGACAAAUGGAUAUGAACAUUACUACGACCCUAAUAGUGGAGAAGGGUACCUCUCGUAUAGAAUCAAAACCAUUCAGAGGAAUUUGGCUUCAUCAGAGAAACGGCCCACUCAACUAUACUCUGGAGGGCCAACUGCUUAGAGGGAGUCCAGUCCAUCCACUUUGGCUACCCUGAGGGAAGACCAGUGCAGAGAGGCCAUUUAUCUUAUGAAGCAUUCUUCUGAUGAAGAGUCAAACAGAAGAUGAAAUUGACCUUUGAGUACAGGAAGAUGACCUACGACCAGAGUAAAUGCUCCACCAUCCUAACCGAAUUUCCACGCUUUCUUGAUGUGAAGGGUUUGAUAUUGAACAUGAUUUUGUGCUGCUGUUUGGAGAGGGAACAUCAGUCAAGUUUUUGGAGAGGUGGCCAUCUACAUUCAAGCAAAAUAUCAUCCUUCUAAGCAAGACCCUAAGCAAGGCAGAAUCUGCAGUUGAUGAUGGAGCUGAGGGAUGAGGGAGCUGACACGAAUGCUGAUGGUUACCGAAACACCACUUCAUGAUACAUUAUCCUCAUUGUAUGCGCAACGGGGCAAAACAUCAUUUCUUUAAAAAGCAACUGAAGAGUUUUAAGAAUUUCACUAUGACCUUAGCCAAGAAACAACAAAAUGACAUGGCAUAUAAUUGUGAAACGUUCAGCCAGAGUAGACUAGCUAUAGGUCCAGGAAAGAUGUCAAGGCUCAAUGACCUGAAUGAAAGCCAUGAGAUUGCUACCAAGUUGAAUGUCUCAGUGCACACAAAUGUUUUGUCAGUUAAAUGGGUUAAGCACCAUGGUACAGAAUAUCGUCUUGAUUUGGCCAUAUGUGGUGAAGUAGCCAUUGAAGUGCCAGUAUUUUACAAAAUGAAGGCUAUUGUUCUGAAAGAGGAAAAUUUUUAUUUGGUUAGGUCAGCUCUUGAAAUCUUAUGUUUUGUUGAUCAUUUGCAUGCAUUUGAAGUUGUUUUGAAGCCAAGUCCACCAUGCAAGGUAUUUCAUGUAAAUUACAUCAUGUACCACAAACCUUUUGAUUUGCUCAUGUCAAAUGGAGCAAGGGAUUUUUUUGACUACAUUGUCCCCACCUGUCACUUGAUAACAGUUUAAGCCAGGGCUGAUACUUAUGGUUAGGUUGUGAAAAACAUAUUUGUUUUUAAUGCAAACGUCAGCAUUUUCCAACAAACCUAUUGAUUUGCUCAUGUCAUAUGGAGCAAGGGAUUCUUUUGACUAGAUUCUACUCUCACUUGAUAACAGUUUCAGCCAGGGCUGGGACUUAUGGUUUGGUCAUAAUGAACAUAUUUGAAUCUUGAAACAGCUUUGAUUGAGUUUAUUGUGAAAUUCCCAGUGCCUUUAUAAAAUCUCAUUUCCAUUUACAUGGGAGAAGAGUAAAUACAUUAACACUGAAUAGAGUAAACACAUUUUUACUCUAAUAAUCGAAUAGUGUCACUAUAACACUUAAAGUGUUGAAUACCUCAGUGUUCAUUUUGAUCAACACCGGCCAGUGUAGUGCAGUGUUAACUUUUUGCACUCUGUGUUAACACUAGAAAUGUAACACUUUGAUCAGUGUACUUUCUACUCUGUGUAGAGUGAGACCAUAUGUACUCACUGACAGUGUUAAAUGUAACACUUAAAGUGUUGAUUUAACACUUUCAAAUGUACUGUGUAGGUAGACACCAACACCAUAAUAGGGAGGAGACGGCUGGUUCAUAAAUGUGACCUGAACAACAUUUGAAAACCGUACCCCUUCAAUACAAUGGUUUAAAAUACAUGGGGGGGUUCAUAGGUGCUCUGCUGUGAUAGGCUCAAAUAAAUGCUGUUUAGUGAUCACCAGAGAGGAGAAAGGAAGGAGGGAAGGCAGGAAGGAAGAUAUGAGAUGUAGAGGAGCUGACACUGACUGCUUUGCUUUCUGUUGUUUGCUGUUUCCCUGGUGACCAAGCCAUAUCUGAUGAUGUCAUGGCUGCGAGGGUGUGUGAGAGACGCUGAUAUCGUAAAUACUGUCCUUAACUAGGUCAUAAUAUAAGCUUCCUACACCCCACCCAGACCCCUCCCUCUUCAAGUACAGACUUAACAUACACUUCCCACCUUUUUAAAAUCCUAACUCCUCCUUACAGCUGUACAGGACCCCACCUCCAUCCCACCUCUACUAAUAUCUUCCCAGGACCCCACCAUAGUGCCCUCCGUAUGAACUGUGAGGCAGGAGCGAGGUCAGUGUAAAUGUUGCUGACUUGACAGAGAGCCAGGAGAAGCCAAACAGUCUUCAGAACUUUACCACAGUCAGAGAGAGCAUCAGGACAUGUUUCCGUUUUUCAGGAAUACAGUAUUUUCAAACUAGCUUGUUUACCAUUAAAGAAAUGAGGGGACUCCAUUCAGGUGUCUUUUUACCCAUGCUACAUUAGGUUAGUUCACACAAACAUUGCAUUCAACCACAGCUAGAGGGAAAUCAGUCAGACCGUUAUGCCUCGUGUUCCUAUGGUAAACAUGUUAAAGUGUGUAUAUUUUGGCUGAAAACAAGGUGUCGACGAGUGCAUAGUGUCAUUCCAUUCAGGGGUUACAUGGUUUUAGUGGGUAGGCUGUCAUUGUAAAUAAGAACGUUCUUGACCGACUUGCCUAGUUAAAAGGUGAAAUAAAAUAAAAUCCUUUAUUGUA